rnacentral:rRNA from 1 species
UGAGGAAUUAUGCGCAAUGGACGAAAGUCUGACGCUGCGACGUCGCGUGGGUGAUGAAGGUCUUCGGAUCGUAAAACCCUGUCGAGAGGGAAGAAAGAGCGGGCGCUAAUAUCGCCUACUUCUGACGGUACCUCUGGAGGAAGCCCCGGCUAACUCUGUGCCAGCAGCCGCGGUAAUACAGAGGGGGGCAAGCGUUGUUCGGAAUUACUGGGCGUAAAGGGCGCGUAGGCGGCAAUUCAAGUCAUCUGUGAAAUCUCCGGGCUUAACUCGGAACGGUCAGAUGAUACUGCUUUGCUAGAGUGCAGAAGGGGCAAUCGGAAUUCUUGGUGUAGCGGUGAAAUGCGUAGAUAUCAAGAGGAACACCUGAGGUGAAGACGGGUUGCUGGGCUGACACUGACGCUGAGGCGCGAAAGCCAGGGGAGCAAACAGGAUUAGAUACCCGCGUAGUCCCUGAGCGGGCUGGCAAGGCGCAU